AACAGGCUUAUCUCCCCCAAGAGUCCACAUCGACGGGGAGGUUUGGCACCUCGAUGUCGGCUCAUCACAUCCUGGGGCUGUAGUAGGUCCCAAGGGUUGGGCUGUUCGCCCAUUAAAGUGGUACGCGAGCUGGGUUCAGAACGUCGUGGGACAGUUCGGUCCCUAUCCGUCGCAGGCGUAGGAAAUUUGAGAAGACCUGUCCUUAGUACGAGAGGACCGGGAUGGACGUACCUCUGGUGUACCAGUUGUUCUGCCAAGGGCAUGGCUGGGUAGCUAUGUACGGAAUGGAUAAGCGCUGAAAGCAUCUAAGCGCGAAGCCAACUUCAAGAUAAGAUUUCCCACCGCAAGGGUAAGACCCCAGAAAGACUAUCUGGUUG
rnacentral:rRNA from 1 species